AACGAACGCUGGCGGCAGGCCUAACACAUGCAAGUCGAGCGCCCCGCAAGGGGAGCGGCGGACGGGUGAGUAACGCGUGGGAACGUGCCUCUUGCUACGGAAUAGCCUCGGGAAACUGGGAGUAAUACCGUAUGUGCCCUACGGGGGAAAGAUUUAUCGGCAAGAGAUCGGCCCGCGUUGGAUUAGGUAGUUGGUGGGGUAAUGGCCUACCAAGCCGACGAUCCAUAGCUGGUUUGAGAGGAUGAUCAGCCACACUGGGACUGAGACACGGCCCAGACUCCUACGGGAGCAGCAGUGGGGAAUCUUAGACAAUGGGCGCAAGCCUGAUCUAGCCAUGCCGCGUGAGCGAUGAAGGCCUUA
rnacentral:rRNA from 1 species